rnacentral:rRNA from 1 species
UACGUAGGGUGCAAGCGUUGUCCGGAAUUAUUGGGCGUAAAGCGCGCGCAGGCGGCUCUUUAAGUCUGGUGUUUAAUCCCGAGGCUCAACUUCGGGUCGCACUGGAAACUGGGGAGCUUGAGUGCAGAAGAGGAGAGUGGAAUUCCACGUGUAGCGGUGAAAUGCGUAGAUAUGUGGAGGAACACCAGUGGCGAAGGCGACUCUCUGGGCUGUAACUGACGCUGAGGCGCGAAAGCGUGGGGAGCAAACAGG